rnacentral:rRNA from 1 species
GUGGCUUUCGGAGCUAACGCGUUAAAUCGACCGCCUGGGGAGUACGGCCGCAAGGUUAAAACUCAAAUGAAUUGACGGGGGCCCGCCCAAGCGGUGGAGCAUGUGGUUUAAUUCGAUGCAACGCGAAGAACCUUACCUACUCUUGACAUCCAGAGAAUUUAGCAGAGAUGCUUUAGUGCCUUCGGGAACUUUGAGACAGGUGCUGCAUGGCCGUGGUCAGCUCGUGUUGUGAAAUGUUGGGUUAAGUCCCGCAACGAGCGCAACCCUUAUCCUUUGUUGCCAGCGAUUCGGUCGGGAACUCAAAGGAGACUGCCGGUGAUAAACCGGAGGAAGGUGGGGAUGACGUCAAGUCAUCAUGGCCCUUACGAGUAGGGCUACACACGUGCUACAAUGGUGUAUACAAAGAGAAGCGACCUCGCGAGAGCAAGCGGAACUCAUAAAGUACGUCGUAGUCCGGAUUGCAGUCUGCAACUCGACUCCAUGAAGUCGGAAUCGCUAGUAAUC